rnacentral:misc_RNA from 1 species
UCUCCGUAGGUGAACCUGCGGAGGGAUCAUUACAGAGUUUUUGCCCGCAAGGGUAGAUCUCCCACCCUAUGUUAUUCCUUCUCUGUUGCUUUGGCGGGCCGUCCGGCCUCGGUCAGGCCACCGGCUCCGGCUGGUGCGCGCCCGCCUGAGGACCCCAAACCCUAAAUGUCAGUGUCGUCUGAGUACUAUAUAAUAGUUAAAACUUUCAACAACGGAUCUCUUGGUUCUG